rnacentral:rRNA from 1 species
CAGCCGCCGCGGUAAAACGGAGGGUGCAAGCGUUAAUCGGAAUUACUGGGCGUAAAGCGCACGCAGGCGGUUUGUUAAGUCAGAUGUGAAAUCCCCGAGCUUAACUUGGGAACUGCAUUUGAAACUGGCAAGCUAGAGUCUUGUAGAGGGGGGUAGAAUUCCAGGUGUAGCGGUGAAAUGCGUAGAGAUCUGGAGGAAUACCGGUGGCGAAGGCGGCCCCCUGGACAAAGACCGACGCUCAGGUGCGAAAGCGUGGGGAGCAAACAGGAUUAGAUACCCCUGUAGUCCCUGUCUCUUAUAC